rnacentral:misc_RNA from 1 species
UGAAAAGGCAGGUUAGACGUUUUGUUCAAUAUAAGUGGCUUGCAACUCGAGGAGUACAUGAAGAAUCUAUCCUGGGUGGUUUACCUGCUGAUCUUCGGCGUGAUAUCCAGCGCCACUUAUGCUUGGACCUUGUUCUACGUAUNUGGAUGAUCAGUUGCUUGAUGCAAUAUGUGAGCGUCUGGUUUCUUCUCUUAGCACUGCAGGCACCUAUAUUGUACGUGAGGGUGACCCUGUAACAGAAAUGCUAUUUGUUAUCAGAGGCAGACUGGAGAGUUCUACUACCAAUGGAGGCCGAACUGGUUUCUUCAACUCAAUUACUUUGAUACCUGGGGAUUUUUGCGGAGAGGAGCUACUGGCUUGGGCAUUGCAUCCGAAAUCGUCUCUUAACUUGCCUUCCUCAACUAGGACAGUCAGAGCUCUAAAUGAAGUUGAAGCUUUCGCAUUGAGAGCUGAAGAUCUAAAGUUUGUUGCCAACCAAUUCAGACGUCUCCAUAGCAAAAGGCUGCAGCAUACAUUCAGGUAUCAUUCCCAUCAUUGGAGGACGUGGGCAGCCUGUUUCAUACAGGCUGCUUGGCUUCGGCAUAAGAGAAGGAUGAUGGAGAAUAAUCUUACCAUUUCAGAAUCCUUUGCUUUGGAUGGAAAAGAGACUAAUGAAACGGGGCAACGGGAAGGAGACCAUUUUUCAGAUGGUCCAAGUUCUCAGGCGAAAAUGAACCUUGGGGUCACAAUACUGGCUUCAAGAUUUGCUGCAAACACAAGGAGAG